rnacentral:rRNA from 1 species
GUGCAAUGGGCGGGUGCUAUACAUGCAGUCGAGCGAACUGAUUAGAAGCUUGCUUCUAUGACGUUAGCGGCGGACGGGUGAGUAACACGUGGGCAACCUGCCUGUAAGACUGGGAUAACUUCGGGAAACCGAAGCUAAUACCGGAUAGGAUCUUCUCCUUCAUGGGAGAUGAUUGAAAGAUGGUUUCGGCUAUCACUUACAGAUGGGCCCGCGGUGCAUUAGCUAGUUGGUGAGGUAACGGCUCACCAAGGCAACGAUGCAUAGCCGACCUGAGAGGGUGAUCGGCCACACUGGGACUGAGACACGGCCCAGACUCCUACGGGAGGCAGCAGUAGGGAAUCUUCCGCAAUGGACGAAAGUCUGACGGAGCAACGCCGCGUGAGUGAUGAAGGCUUUCGGGUCGUAAAACUCUGUUGUUAGGGAAGAACAAGUACGAGAGUAACUGCUCGUACCUUGACGGUACCUAACCAGAAAGCCACGGCUAACUACGUGCCAGCAGCCGCGGUAAUACGUAGGUGGCAAGCGUUAUCCGGAAUUAUUGGGCGUAAAGCGCGCGCAGGCGGUUUCUUAAGUCUGAUGUGAAAGCCCACGGCUCAACCGUGGAGGGUCAUUGGAAACUGGGGAACUUGAGUGCAGAAGAGAAAAGCGGAAUUCCACGUGUAGCGGUGAAAUGCGUAGAGAUGUGGAGGAACACCAGUGGCGAAGGCGGCUUUUUGGUCUGUAACUGACGCUGAGGCGCGAAAGCGUGGGGAGCAAACAGGAUUAGAUACCCUGGUAGUCCACGCCGUAAACGAUGAGUGCUAAGUGUUAGAGGGUUUCCGCCCUUUAGUGCUGCAGCUAACGCAUUAAGCACUCCGCCUGGGGAGUACGGUCGCAAGACUGAAACUCAAAGGAUUUGACGGGGGCCCGCACAAGCGGUGGAGCAUGUGGUUUAAUUCGAAGCAACGCGAAGAACCUUACCAGGUCUUGACAUCCUCUGACAACUCUAGAGAUAGAGCGUUCCCCUUCGGGGGACAGAGUGGACAGGUGGUGCAUGGUUGUCGUCAGCUCGUGUCGUGAGAAUGGUUGGGUUAAGUCCCGCAACGAGCGCACCCUUUGAUCUUAGUUGGCAGCAUUUAGUGGCACUUCUAGGUGACUGCCGGGUGACAACGGAGAAGGGUGGGGAUGACGUCAAUCAUCAUGCCCUUAUGACCUGGGCUACACACUGCUACAUUGAUGUCACAGGCUGCAGAACCGGCAGGUCAAGCCAAUUCCUUUAAAAACU